rnacentral:rRNA from 1 species
CAGUAGCCGCGGGAACACGUAGGUGGCAAGCGUUGUCCGGAAUUAUUGGGCGUAAAGGGCUCGCAGGCGGUUUCUUAAGUCUGAUAUGAAAGCCCCCGGCUCAACCGGGGAGGGUCAUUGGAAACUGGGAAACUUGAGUGCAGAAGAGGAGAGUGGAAUUCCACGUGUAGCGGUGAAAUGCGUAGAGAUGUGGAGGAACACCAGUGGCGAAGGCGACUCUCUGGUCUGUAACUGACGCUGAGGAGCGAAAGCGUGGGGAGCGAACAGGAUUAGAUACCCCCGUAGUCCCUGUCUCUUAUAC